CCGAAACGUGGAUUUGAUAAAUAUCAAAAUAAAAAAAAAGGUUUUCCCCAUACAAAUUUAUAUGGAUUGGAUUUUUUCGUGCUGAUUUGCCGGAUUCGGCCAGUCCGGACGGUCGCGAAUCAAUCUAGGAAAAAAAAGGUCCAGAUCCGGGAAACGUUCCGGCUUUUCUGGUAGUUUCAGUAUAUUCCCAAAAUGAUCCCACGGUGACGACAGCCAAGGAUUUUCCAGGGUUCCCCAGGGAGCUGCUAGAAAAUAGGGUUUAAUACGAGGAUAAAGCAAGGG